rnacentral:rRNA from 1 species
UACGUAGGGGGCUAGCGUUGUCCGGAAUCAUUGGGCGUAAAGCGCGUGUAGGCGGUCCGGUAAGUCCGCUGUGAAAGUCGGGGGCUCAACCCUCGAAUGCCGGUGGAUACUGUCGGGCUAGAGUGCGGAAGAGGCGAGUGGAAUUCCUGGGUGUAGCGGGUGAAAUGCGUAGAUAUCGGGAGGAACACCUGUGGCGAAGGCAAUCCCCUGGGCCUGCACUGACGCUCAUGCACGAAAGCGUGGGGAGCAAACAGG